ACCUUCUGCACAGACAUCAGCCGUUUUUUUAAGCCUGGAUAAUACUUGCCAGCCUGCCAGUAUCGGACUGUUUUCUCCACUACAACGCCGGAUUCCUGCCGUAAGCCCUGGACCAUUAUUCCUGAUCAUCACAGCUAGCUAGCUAGCUGCCACCAAGUGACCCAGCCCCGAAGCUAGCUCUGAGCCAGGCCCACCUCCCGGCCUACUCAGUGAUCACUCGGCUACACAGCUGAUGCCUCCCGGACUCUACCCCAACACGGCUAGAAUCCACUACUCCACCGGAUCCUUGCCAUAAGCUCUGGACCUUUGCAUCGGAUCAUCGCUGCUAGUUAGCUGCUACCGAGUGGCUAUAGUGGCUAACGCCCCUUCCCCGAAGCUAGCACCAGUUAGCCGCGAGCCAGGCGCAUCUCCCGGCUAGCAAACUAAAUUACUACAACUACAAUACCCCUUUCGCCAUCUGGCCUGGAUCCUUUGUCGACACGGUGCCCCGCCGUACCACCACGACUGGUCUGCCGACGGAACUCCAUCCGCUGGUCCCUCAACCGGCCUUUGCCGGACGUCGGAGCAGACGCUUCUACUAACCCCGGCCUGCUAACUUUAAACGCUGUGUCUCCCGCUUGCUAGCAUAGUAACGACUACCCUGCGGCUUCUCUGUUCCAUCUAUUGCUGUUCACUGGACCCUAUGAUUACUUGGCUACAUAGCUGAUGCCUACUGGACUGUUCAUUAAUCACGGCUAUGAGCCGGCCUGUGACAAGUGGGGGCUCAUCCACAAGUGGGGGCUCAUCCACAAGUGGGGGCUCAUCCGCAAGUUGUGACAAGUGGGGGCUCAUCCGCAAGUUGUGACAAGUGGGGGCUCAUCCGCAAGUUGUGACAAGUGGGGGCUCAUCCGCAAGUUAAGUCUCUGCAUCUGGGGGCAUAGUGUCUAUCAACAGGAUGCAGAUAUCAUCAGCCUGAAGGAGAAAGAGGAGUUACUGGGUGAUAAGGGAUGCAUGUCAAAAUAUAUUGGGAUGGGGAUUGUAGUGAGUAGACUACGUCAUUGUAAGUCAGACACUUAGUUGUGCAACUAGAAAGAUACUAUAUAAAUACAUCCACAUCUACCAUUAUGAGCAAAAAAA
rnacentral:lncRNA from 1 species